rnacentral:ncRNA from 1 species
AGGAAGCCGGUGCGAGUCCGGCGCGGUCCCGCCACUGUGACCGGGGAGCGAUCCUCCCGAGUGCGCCACCGGGGCCAAGGCCCCGGGAAGGCCGGAGGGGAGCGGUGAUCCGGGAGCCAGGACACU